rnacentral:lncRNA from 1 species
GGAGCUGUUGUGUAAAUAACAGCGCCUCGCAGCCCUGUGCUGAUGGGUUUUUCACUCUCGAAUAUCCUUUCCAAAAUGUUAUAGGCAAAAUUCAGGAAUAAAACUGUCCCGGUCUCCAGCUCAUUGCACUCCAAGAACUUUUGGCUUGGGCAUGGGUUGGGCAGGGGGGGUUCUGAGGGGUGCAGGGAGGCUGGGUGCUGCAGUUUCUGGGGCUGCUUCGGGAUAUUCUGGGCUCUCGUCCUGCCUCUGCAGCCUUCCAGCCUGCCCGGUGACCCCAGGCAAGUCCCUUUGCUCCUCUGCGUUUCACUUUCCCAUCUGUAAGUCCUGGCAUGCCUUGGGGGGUGCUUCCAGAGAUGCCAAAAAGCCCCAUCUGACGUUAAAAUGCUCUCAUUGAUGGCAGGGGCUUGAAGCCUUGGAAGGCUCUUCCCAGAGCAGCGCAGCCCGCGCUGGACUCGGUCACGGGCAGAAUAUCCAGUGCCUGGCAGAGAUCUGCUGGUCUAAAUGUCUGCUGAAGGCCCUGAAAUUAUUGGUACAAAAUCCCUUUUUAUGGAUGCAUAAUUCUUCUGUGAUGCAGAGCUUCUGUCUGGAGAGGGGAGAGAUUAAAAAAAAAAAAAGAAUAUGAAGCAAUACCUACUGUGAAGGUCCAGUUUCUUGGUGAUUUGGUUUAUUUUCUUUUUUUUUUGCAUGUCUCUGAAGUAGCUGCUCGCAGCCACUAGAGGAGACUAGCCAGCCAAGGGGGGGACUUGGUGAAGAAAGGGACGCUUCAGAGCCACGCUCAGGGAUGUUGCCAGGGAUCCGGUGGGAAAGGGAAGGAAUUUGGAAGCAGGCAGGACCACGCUGGCAGCCUGUGCCGCACCAACAAAACCCGGUCACAUCGGCGUCAAACCGAGAGAGGACAGGAGUGCACGUGUCCUCACUGAGUCACACACAGAUGAUUUCAAAGAAGGUGGAGGAGGUUUGGGUUUUCCAGGUCCUGAGCAGCCGUGUGACCCCAGCCAGGAGCGGAUUGACCUCACGGAGCUCCCGCCGGGGUGGUUAUUCUGCUACUGACAGCCCCAGAGGGGGAGCUGUGAAGCUUGCUGAAAUUCAUCUCUGCAAAGAAUAACAGGAGCCGAUGACUACGGACCUGUCGGGUAGGGAAAACCCCAAAGGGUUGUCACUUCUGAGCUGGGAGGUGCUCCGUGCAGCGGGCUGGCUGGGUCACCCUGGUGCCGGUGAGUUGGGCAGCUG